GGAUGACCUUGCCCUUGCUUAACUCUCCUUCUUCUGUGCCGGCCCCAGCAUUCCUCGCCAGAUCCUCUGCUGUCCCUGGCCAACUCUUUGGCAUCUACAUCUUACACCCCCCUUUCCUCUGGCUCUGGUGAUGCCAGGAACCCGACAGCCCCAUGCGCCUGUUUCCAGCCUGGGGUCAGUCUGAGCAGCCAGGCUUGCUUACCGCACCAGCUGGGAUUCCCCUCCAGAAGCAUGCUUCGCGCAGAGCGGGCAACCUUCAAAGGAGCCACGUCUUCCUGGUUGCUGCCUCUGCAUCCUGAUCCAGUCUGAUGGUGUUUUUGCAGUUUUCCUGUCAGCUUGGAGGGGAGAAGUUCAAAGAGACUCUGUCUUCCUUUCUGGCUUCCUUUGCAGACAGAGCAGCUUUCUCUCUGCAGCUCCCCUGCCCCACCUCUCUCAAGGAAAUUGAUGUCUUUCCCACUCCUUCCCUCCCCUACAAAAGGUUCAUUCCUAAGGGUUAUACUGAAAACAGGGACCAGUGACAAACAGGAGUUUGCCCCACCUGCCUCCUUCCUGUGGGAGAAGCUUUGCAAAGAAGUUAUUCACUGGGAAGAACCUUGGAUCCCAGGGGUCUUGGAAGGGGCUUCUGGGCCCAGAAUGUGUGGCAGGCACUCCCAGCCCAGAUUGGGAGUUCCCUGGUUCUCUCAAGGCAUAUGUGCUGCUCGGCACUGAACUUGGCCAGUCUAACUCAGAAGACCUAGCACAGUGCUCAGGACCUGCACAAGCGCAGUUAACACCCUGCCUCUUCCCCUGCUCUCCCUCCCUCCUCCUCUAUCUAUUAAGAUGGUCAGCAGGACCCCGGGGGUAGAAGUGCCUUGCUGCUGUUCCCAUGCCAGCCAUAACCACUCAUCAAAGGAGAGCCUGCCAGGCCCAGGGACGAGCCCAGGGCUUCAAGUCUACCCUUCCAGAUCAGCACUGAAGCCAGCCAGGCACAAACUGUGUGCUGUCCCUGGAGACAGGAACAGGACCAAAUAAGUAGGACUGCAAGCAGGCCAGGAGAUGAGGUGAACAGUAGGCCCACAUCAGCAGGAACACUCUCUGAAAAUCAAAAUCCUAAGAGUUGAGGAAACUGGUUUCCAGAGAGCUUCCAAAGGAGAAGCCUCGUGGAGGAGACUCAAACGGUAGAGGAAUAUCUGCUGGGGCUCCAGGGAAAGAGGGACAGCACCAAGGGUAAGAGAAGGACAGAGGAGCAAACCAGGGCAUUCAGCAAGUUACUUGCCUGAAAGGGAAGAAGAGUAAGGUGGGAACUUCCCUCUAAGCCAGACUGUCAAGCUGCCGGGUAAAAGAGGAAGAGGAAGGAGGUCCAGAGGAAAGGAAAAUCACACCAUGGAAUCAAAGAGAUUCACUUUGAGCCCAAUGAGGAGAGGAGGGG
ensembl:lncRNA